rnacentral:rRNA from 1 species
AGAUUGAACGCUGGCGGCAGGCCUAACACAUGCAAGUCGAGCGGUAGAGAGGUGCUUGCACCUCUUGAGAGCGGCGGACGGGUGAGUAAUGCCUAGGAAUCUGCCUAGUGGUGGGGGAUAACGUUCGGAAACGGACGCUAAUACCGCAUACGUCCUACGGGAGAAAGCGGGGGACCUUCGGGCCUCGCGCCAUUAGAUGAGCCUAGGUCGGAUUAGCUAGUUGGUGAGGUAAUGGCUCACCAAGGCGACGAUCCGUAACUGGUCUGAGAGGAUGAUCAGUCACACUGGAACUGAGACACGGUCCAGACUCCGUACGGGAGCAGCGAGUGGGGAAU